UACGUAGGGUGCGAGCGUUGUCCGGAAUUAUUGGGCGUAAAGGGCUCGUAGGCGGUUUGUCGCGUCGGGAGUGAAAACCUCGGGCUUAACUCGGGGCUUGCUUUCGAUACGGGCAGACUAGAGGUAUGCAGGGGAGAACGGAAUUCCUGGUGUAGCGGUGAAAUGCGCAGAUAUCAGGAGGAACACCGGUGGCGAAGGCGGCAUCCUGGACCAACACUGACACUGAGGAGCGAAAGCCAGGGGAGCAAACGGG
rnacentral:rRNA from 1 species